GAUGAAGAACGCAGCGAAAUGAGAUAAGUAAUGUGAAUUGCAGAAUUCAGUGAAUCAUCGAAUCUUUGAACGCACAUUGCGCCCGCCAGUAUUCUGGCGGGCAUGCCUGUUCGAGCGUCAUUUCAACCAUCAAGCCCCAGGCUUGUGUUGGGGACCUGCGGCUGCCGCAGGCCCUGAAAACCAGUGGCGGGCUCGCUGUCACACCGGGCGUAGUAGAUUUUAUCUCGCUCAGGGCGUGCUGCGGGUUCCGGCCGUUAAAAAGCCUUUUUUACCCAAGGUUGACCUCGGAUCAGGGAGGAAUACCCGCUGAACUUAAGCAUAUCAAUAAGCGGAGGA
rnacentral:misc_RNA from 1 species